CUAUUCUAAAAAAUUGAGCAGAAAGGACUCCUUCCCAACUCAUUCUAUGAGGCUAGCAUCAUCUUAAUGGUAAACUUUCAAUGACUCUCCACCACCAAGAGGAUGAAUUUCUAUCUCCUUAGAAUGGCAUAUAAAGCCAUUUGUGAUUUGGCCCUGGCUUCCCUCUCCACUCCAGCAGCUGUACUUAAGUACUUGUAGGUCCCUUAGGGAGCCAUAAUUUGUGGCAUUUUUACAUGUUACUUCCUUGGCAUAUAUAUUUUAUUUUAUUUUUGUCAGGCCCACACCACUUAGAUGUUGCUGACUCUAGUAAAGCUUCCCUUACUCCCCAGGUGCUGGGCUAAGUACCCCUAUUCUGGGAACCCUUCUGCUUACCAUAUCACAGCACUUCCGUGACUUCAUAAUCGUCUGUUUACUUGCCAUUUCCUCUAUUAAAUUCUGAGCUCCCUGAUGGGAGUAUUCAUGGUUAGAGUCUCAGUCUCUAUUACGGGCCCUAGUACACUUCAGGAACUCAAAAGCUUUGCUGAUAUAAUGCAAGGUGAUAAAAAAGUAGAAAGACUUGGGAUAAUCUUGAUUUCUGAAGGCAUCAAACGGGAAUUAGAGAAAGCAGCAGGAAAAACGAAGGCCUUUUUAAGUUCCAUGAGAACUACGGUUUGCAAGACUGGUCAAAACAGUACAAUGCAAGCGGCAAGAAUCAGGAAGUGCACAGAAACAAGAAGCUCGGUGCACACUGGGAUCAGGCAAGCAUCUGGGAGAAGACUGUAGCAAGACUGGAUCCUGAGAAAUAUACAGAGUUCAGAGGCUCCAUGGCUACACUUUGGGCAUGUAUGUCAUUACAGGAAUGAAAAAAAGAUGAUGGCCAAAUGCUGUAUUAAAAUCCCAUUAGAAAUGCCGGGAGAAAUUUAUGGCCCCAAUCUCUUUUAUCUGACAGUUCCCAUGUGAUCCAUCAGGCUCUGAACAUGAAUUUUAAUGGGCUCAGAACCACUUCUCUACCCUGAGGUCACAGGCUGUCAGAGUGAAUCUUCCACAAACUGAUUGGAACCUGAAGAAUUUGCUCUGUCAAGAGAGGAAAAAAGGCAUAAACCUUAGGUGGUAUGGAGAAUGAGGAAAGGGGAGGAGAAGGAGAAAUCCAAAAGAUAGGUGGAAAACCAUGGGAGCAAAUCAAGGCAGGAAAUCAGAGAAAUCAAAGCCAGAGAGCAUCUCAGGAAGAGCUGAUGGCUACCAGCACUGAAUACCACAGAGAUUAUUACAUCGCAAGACAAUGCAUCGCUCCAGCAAGGAUAACAAAGCGAAUGGGAAGGAAAGGGUUAUGAAGAGUUCAUGGAAGGCACCUUAGGCAGACUACUUUUAGGAAAGAGUGGAUGUGGAAGCUAAGUAUCUGGAAAUUGAUUUCCUUAGAACAGUUUGUGUUUGCAUGUCUUCUGAAAGGUUUUAUGUACUCCCAAGAGUAAGUAUACCUGUUUGAAGAAGCUGCUCAAUAUAGUUCUUAAAAUAGUCUACAAACAUGUUACCCCAGCAUAGUAAGAAAUAGGAGUACAGCCAGAAAUGAGAGUGGGAAUGAUUAGAGAGACCUCUUUGAGGCCUUGGUCGUGGGCAGGAGCACAGUGGGCCGGGCUCUUUCUAGAUGUGCUUUAAUCAUCAGGAAUUCUGAUACAAUUAUAUUUUGACUAUGAUAUAUAAGCUUCAUUUGAUUACUGUUGCCAAAUAUUUUUUGCUCUUCACGAAGUAAACCUCUUUUUAAAACUUUUUAACUGGCAAAUAAUAAUUGCAUCUAUUUAGGGAGUACAUUGUGAUGUUUUGAUACAUGAUUACAUUGUGGAAUGAUUUAAUCAAUCUACUUAAAUUUAGUGAAAAUAACUUAAGCUAUUAAUCUCAGCCUUGGUGGCUUCUCCUAAUUUAUGCUUACACAAGAGGCUAUCUUCAUUGUGAAAUGUCACAGACUCUCACAAGCAAGAGAAGAAAAUGUAGAGAAGCCCCUCAAAUAAAAUGCAUUAGGUUAAUUCAUACCGACAAAUGUGACACACUUAAAAUUGUUCCUAACAUCAGUUCAUGAUUUAUUUCAAAAGUUCUUAAUAUUCAAAAAUGCUCAAUAAUUUAAAGUAUUUCAAUGUAUAUAGCAAAUAAACCCUGCUAUUAAAACAAAAGAAUCAGGUUCAUUUCAGAAGAGUGAAAACUAGCAAGAUCUUACUGUAAAUCAACUGUUUGUUUUCAAUUAUUUGGCAUGAGAUCUUACAUAUUUUUAACCCAUGUUUUAAUUCUCGUAGAUACCCUGUUGCAAAAGUUCUGAAACAUUGUGAGAAAAAGUGUUUUUGUAGCACUUUGGCAAUGGGAGCCUCACUUCACUCUGUUAUGUAAUGUCCCAUCCAGUUUUUAGUUAAACCUGGAAACACCUUUGUCCUUAGGUGAAGCAGCAAGUCUUGCUUAAGCAAAGCUGGUGAAAUCAGAGCCUGGUCCAAGGCUCAGAAGCGUUUGCGGGGAAAAGCAAACACUUUUUGUGGGAGAAGGAAACAAAGGAGAAGAGAGGAGGAGGAAGAAAUUGAAAAAGAAGGGGAAGAGAAGAGGAAAAGAAAAAGAGACGUUGAGAGAAAGAAAAACAGAGAGCUGUGUGUGAUUGGAUGCCAUGACUCCUCAGUCUUAGUGCUAAUGCCGUUGUUACCUAACUCUAUUUAGGGAACUUUCCAGAACAAAGCGAAGCUUUGUGGGCCUGGCUUUCAGAACUUAUGCAACAAUUGUUUUGGGAGCAGACUGAAAAUUUUACAAGAGAACUGAGUUUUCAAGAGACUGACGGUGUGACCAAAAGAUCAAAGGUUUGGUGCAGUGGGACUAAGUUUCAGGCAGCCUUUCAAAUUGUGAAGACUUUCCUCCCUGUUAUGGCAGUUAAGACAUGUGAAAAUGGUAGUUCGAGACACUUAUAAGCAACUUUCUUCUUAGUUCACAAUGUUCCAUGAAUGUCAGUGCCCUCCAAACUCACGAGAACAAAGCAGGCAACCAGGAUGAUUACUCCCAAAUCAUUGAUAAAAGGAGAGAGAAGUACAGAGAUACACAGUGAUUUGUGUGGGUUGCCAAAAAGUUGCACGGUCAGUUUGACAACUGUUAUUGCCUUCAGGUUGACAAAUUGCAAAAGCAGCAUUGCUGUGUAUGGGUGGGGAGGGAGGAGGAAUUGCAUGAGUAAGAAUGAGAUGAGCAAUAGUUAGGUGGGGUGGAAAUGAAAUCUCAACAGUUAUUGGGGAUUCUGAUGUAUUUAUCAAACCAAAAGACGAUCUAAAAGCCAUACAAUCAGACUUAGAUUAGGGCAGUCUGUGAUAAGCAAAAGUUAAUAUAGUGUGUUGUUUUUGAAAAUAUGGCAUGAUAAUUAAUAGCAACUCUUUUUGUAUACUUGCUUGGUUAACAGGAGGAAACACAGAUAAAUUAAAUACUGGUUAGCAAUCUUUAAUAACCAGGAGAUGCUUAACAUUUAUUUAGAAAUCUGCAACAUUUUAUAAAUCAUUGUUUUGGCUUCUGGGACAAACUCAGAAUCUGGAACCCACGGAAACCCUUCAGUUACACAAAGGCUUUCCAGUUCAUUGCUACUGCACUGAAGAACAGUCUUCACAACUAUACCUGGAACUUACUAGGCCAAGAAGGCAAGGCGUUGGUAUGUGUUUUUAUUGUAGUUAAACUUAUCUGGAUUUAAAAGGCAUUAACUAUCUUCUGAUUUCUUCCUUUUUCUUCAAUUGUACAAGAGUGUUUCAAUUGAAUAUUGCAACUGAAGACAUUCACUCUGCGUUGAUCACCUAUGGAGUGAUCAAAUUUCAACCCUUUGAAGUUUCCUAAAUGAAAGAGGCACUCUGAAUUCAAAGGCUGUUUGAAUGAACUGACUGCUUCAGCACUGUCUUGUAGAUAUAGUCCAUUCAAAUAAAAGACAAAUAUCUGACUGAAUUUUGUUAGCACGUUAAGACAUGUAUUAUAAAAAGGUUUAAGAAGAAAAUAAUGGCCACAAUUCUUCAGAAAACAUGUGAACUAAUGUGACAAAACACUGUGGUGUUGCAAACUCAAGUGCUGCUCUGGCCAAGUCACCUCGCUGAAAUCUCCACUUCCACUUGUGCAACCUACCAAGCCACUCUCUACACAGCUGCCAGAGUGAUUACAAAAACAACGCGGGAUUAUGCUACCCCUGCUUAUCUAAAAUUUGUCAAAAUGCCCGUUACACUUUGAAUAAAAUACAGAUUCCUCUCAGAUCUCAUUUCUUAUCAUGUCUUUCUCAAUCAUUAUGUUCCAGCCUCACUGACCUUCUUUCUGUUCCUGUAAAAUAUUCCUGCCUCAAGGGCGCAGGCCUACGACCUGCAGUUCUCUUUUUCCCACAUGUGACCAGGCUCUCUCUUAGCCAUCAGGUCUCAAAUAAGCUCUUUCCGUUCUGUCUAGGCAUCUUAUCAAAAUCAACCUGUGUAUUAUUAUUCAUUUAUCACAUAAUCUUGUUUUAUUUUCCUCAUAGCACUCUCACUUUCUGAAAUUAUCUUU
rnacentral:lncRNA from 1 species